ACGUCCUACGGGAGGGCAAGCAUGUGGGGAAUGAUUGCAACCAAUGGGCGCAAGCCUGAUGCCAGCCCAUGCCGCGUGAUGUAGGCAAGAAUGGGCCUUUCGGGUUGAUAAAGCACUUUUCAGUCGUGAGGAAGGUAGUGUAGUUAAUAGCUGCAUUAUUUGACGUUAGCGACAGAAGAAGCACCGGCUAACUCCGUGCCAGCAGCCGCGGUAAUACGGAGGGUGCGAGCGUUAAUCGGAAUUACUGGGCGUAAAGCGCAUGCAGGUGGUUUGUUAAGUCAGAUGUGAAAGCCCGGGGCUCAACCUCGGAAUUGCAUUUGAAACUGGCAGACUAGAGUACUGUAGAGGGGGGUAGAAUUUCAGGUGUAGCGGUGAAAUGCGUAGAGAUCUGAAGGAAUACCGGUGGCGAAGGCGGCCCCCUGGACAGAUACUGACACUCAGAUGCGAAAGCGUGGGGAGCAAACAGGAUUAGAUACCCUGGUAGCGAGUAG
rnacentral:rRNA from 1 species